CCGAGUUUACAACUCCCAAACCCAAUGUGAACGUUACCAAACUGUUGCCUCGGCGGGGUCACGCCCCGGGUGCGUAAAAGCCCCGGAACCAGGCGCCCGCCGGAGGAACCAACCAAACUCUUUCUGUAGUCCCUUCGCGGACGUAUUUCUUACAGCUCUGAGCAAAAAUUCAAAAUGAAUCA
rnacentral:misc_RNA from 1 species